GACGAUCGCUGGCGGCGUGCCUAAUACAUGCAAGUCGAACGCAGUGGGGACGGGUGAGUAACACGGGGGUAACCUCCCAUCAGAGGGGAUAACACUUGGAAACAGGUGCUAAACCGAUACUGAUGGAUGGACCCGCGGUGCAUUAGCGCGUUGGUGAGGUAACGGCGCACCAAGGCCACGAUGCCUAGCCGACCGUAGAGUGUGAUCGGCCACACUGGUACUGAGACACGGCCCAGACUCCUACGUGAGGCAGCAGUAGGGAAUCUUAGGCAAUGGACGAAAGUCUGACCGGGCAACGCCGCGUGAGUGAAGAAGGUUUUCGGAUCGUAAAACGCUGUUGUUAGAGAAGCGGUAUCUAACCAGAAAGCCACGGCUAACUACGUGCCAGCCGCCGCGGUAAUAC
rnacentral:rRNA from 1 species